AAUUUCUUAACCUGCAUGACCCAUUUACCAAAAGGCAUAAAAAUGUAUUUAGUACACCAUUUACCAUUUUCUAACAAUUACCAUAAAAUAAAUCUAGACUUUUCUUAAUAGGAAUACACCAUUUUAAAUGGGAUCACAAGAAAGAGUUUUGGCAAUAGAAUGUUUUCUGAUGUUGCAAUGGUUGGUGUGAAUAACAUAAAUAUCAAGAGUAUAUGGCUACUGAAGGGUGUUUGGUACGAGAAUGAUAUCGCUUAUGAAAAUACAAAAACUACCCUCAUCUCCAUCCACCAUUACUGUGCAGGUCACCUAACCCACCAUGUCUACUACCAAUUGUCAAGUAUUCUUCUAAAUAUACUUGAAACAUUACUGGAAACUUCAUCCACCUAUCAAAUGUAAAACUCAGAUAAAUAUUGAAUAAUUAAUUAAUAAGUUAAUUAUAAGUAAAAAUGGUUUAGAAUAAAAACUCGGACUCUUAUUUUAAAGAUUUUGGUUUAAGGUGGAGCCAACAGUUUAAAAUUGCAAAUGGACUCAUGUUGGGCUCAAACCUAUAAUAUAUAAACCCUUCACUUAACCCAUUUCAGCACACUCCCCCUUCAUUAACUCAUAUACAUUCAGCACAAAGAAGGAAGAGAAGAAGAUAGUGGUGCCCUAAAUAUUAUUAUUCAGCACUUCACUAAAAUCCACAUAACUUUCAAAUUGUAGCUCUGAUUGAUGACCCAUUUACGGCUACGCGUUCGUCUCGACUCCCUCUUCGAUUCUAUUUAAAUAUUGUGGGGAGGUUCAAUCUUGAGUUCUAAUGGAGUUUCAAUCCAAGGUUACGUGAGAUGAGAUGAAUUAUGAAUUGUUUGGCUUGAAUUUGGCACGGAGAAAAUUUGCUUGGCGUGGGACCGGUAUGGGAUUGAGUUGAGGAUCAUCAUUGGUGAGGAUUUUAGUAGGGCUUGGACAAGUUGGAGUUGGAAUUGCCGGAGAAAAGAUUUUCCAAGGUUGAGACUGCCGUCAAAGAAGAUAACAGGACGUGACGCAUCCUGCUAAGAGCGCGGGACUCGUUGGUGAAGUGAAGAAGACUUUAAUUUUAAAGUUUAUCUUGUACUUAACAUAUUUUUCCACUGUUAAACAUGUAUUUGUAUAUUUUUCUCUUAGAGGUUUUAUUUUGGAGAAACAUGAUGUAAUCUGCACUCUUUCGAUUUCUAUUAUGUUCUAGCCGGCCUUUUCUUUGUAAAUCGAGACUAUUACUAUUCAUGUAUCUAA